AACCUGACCAUACACCGACCAAGCCGUCUGACGUUGUCAUAUAAUUCUGAUUCUCAAAGUAUGCUUUUCCACUGAGAAGAGGUGUGGACUUACUGACCUCUAUUAUUCAUAACUGCUCACAGGUGACAGAGAUAAGUAGCAGACACAGCACCUUAAUUCUAAAUGACUUUGCAACUCUGACCUUGAAAGCUGGAGGAUUAAGAGACCAGUUUCUUUUUCUGUGCCAGCAUUUUAUUCUUUUUCCAAGCCCACGGUAAGAGUCACUCAGGAUGCUUCCUAACUUGGGUAGCCCACGUCUGGAGACACAGGUGCUUUUUGAAGCGCGUUGACCGGGAAGCCCCUCUUAGCUCAUCCAGCCCCUCUUAGCUCAUCCAAUCCAGCACAUCAGGGGAUCUUCCCUCCCCAGGGAUCGAACCCAGGUCUCCGGCAUUGUGGGCGGAUUCUUUUACCAGCUGAGCCACAAGGGAAGCCCAAGAAUACUGGAGUGCAUAGCCUAUCCCUUCUUCAGUGGAUCUUCCCGACCCAGGAAUCGAACCGGCGUCUCCUGCAUUGCAGGUUGCUGAGGACUUGGUUAAGUACCAAUAUUCAAAAUAGCAUCUUCUGGGAGGAAGGGACAGUUAGGUAGGGCAUCUGGGGAGAGCGUGUACACCCUGCCAUAUUUAAAAUAGAUAACCAACAAGGGCCUACUGUAUAGCACAGGGAACUCUGCUCAAUGUCAGGUGGCAGCCUGGCGGGAGCGGGGAGAAUGGAUGCGUGUAUAUGUAUGGCUGAGACCCCUUGCUGCUCACUUGAAACUAUCACAACAGUCUUUAUUAAUUGGGUGUACCUCGGUACAAAAUAAAAAGUUAAAAUAACCCCAAAACAGCGUCUUCAAUAAGCCAGCACUCACGGAACAAAGGUGAAGGGCAGGGUCCCCCCUGCUCCAUGUGUCAGAGCUUCAGAUCUGCCCAGGAAGGGGACCCUGGGAUCCCAGCUCUCACUUCCGGGCCUGAGGGCCCCACGCCCAGUCCCCAUCGGGCGGGAGUGAGUCUCACCUGACCUGGACUCUCAGGCUGGAACACGCUCACUUCCCGAGGUUCCUGCACCAGAGCCACACACAGAAACCUUUGUUCCUACGGCUGUCGCUUCUGGGGCAGGAGGUGCCCUGCUUCAGUCUCCCACUUUGCCUCCAAGAGUCCAACCUCAGUGUAUUGCUUUUUAAAACUUAUCCUCAGAUUUUUUUUUUUUUAAAUCAGGCAACUAGAAAAAAAGAAAAAAAGGACACAUCUAAAGUAAGGAACUUCCACUUGAAUAAACUGCUCUAGAUGUCCUGGGUUGACACUGGCUGUUGGUAAUGAAGAAUCUGGUGCUAAGGAAUGUAGAACAUCAUGCUAAUAUCCCCCUGCACAGAACCUGGGCUUUAGGAAGAUGGUUUCAGACUGAGACUGUUGUGUUACAUAAGAAAGGAAGACUCAUUCCUCUUUUUUCCUUUUCACUGCAACCUUGGAAGACACAGGCUAUCCAUCAUUGAGGGUAGACAACAAACUCAUGGGUUUAGUCUUUUGCAAACUUUCUACCCUCCCAUGUUGGUUAUGAUUAUAAAUCACAGCCAACAAAUACUGUGCAGAUACUAAUAUGAUACAAGUCAGAUUGGCAUUGCCCCCAUUGGGGAGCUUUUGUUGAAGAAGCUCAGCACAGCAGGGCUGGGUCUCAGUCACAGGCUGUCAACUUGAGUGUCUUUGGCAAUGGGUGCAUCAAGCUGAACAGUUUCCCAGUGAUCCUGGGGCUCGGGGCCAAGUGCUAGCCAAGCCCUUUAGGCAUGUCUGAUUCCUGUGACCAUCCUCAUAACCUUGCGAGCAAAGUCCUGUUCGUUCCCGUUAACCAGUCAAGGGCGCUGAGUGACUGACAUCCGUGACCUCGCUCAAGACCACCUCCGGGACGGGCGGGUGCGGGCAGUGUGGCCCGAGCACCAGCCACACGCUCUGCCACUGCUCUCGAGGCCCUCCUCACACAACAGUGACCCACCCUUAAAUAUAACAGUAAUUCGCAGAUAACGAGCUUGGGCUUUGGAGUCAGACUUUGCUUGGCAGCUAGCUGAGCCACUUGCUAGCAAGUGCCUGGGAGGUGGAAGCUUCCAGGAUGCCUUUGGCCACAUCCCCAGUCCUGGAGGACUGAUAGAAAAGGGAACUUACCUUUGCAGCUUCAGUAAAUCUGUUCCUGGGAAGAGUGACUUGGAAGCAACCGGGUACCUGAAGGUGAAAUCAUGGCACACAGAGGUUACGUUGCACAGCUAGAAGAGCUGCACCUGGGCUCAGAUCUGGCCCUGGCUUGGUCAUGUCAGCUGCAGCACAGUAUUGCCUCCCAGGCAGAAGUGAGGCAGACUCGGACAACGUCAUACUUUCAGUUCCUGAAAGCAGCUUCAUAAAUUGACUAUACAGGAUGAUUUCCCAAUGUGUUAAUUAUCUCUGCUAAAAAUACAGCUGUGCACCGGGAAUGUUUUCCAGGAAGUCUAAGAAUCCUAGAUCGAAGUUGUGUUUUAUGGUCCCUGAGAAAUAAUGGCCUUGUUCAAAGUUUCAGGGAGGCAGCAUUGAGCAUUUAGCCCUGUGUGCAUGGCUUUAGGGUUUCGAACCAUGAGCCCUGGCUGCUACACUGCCCACAUACCCUAGACAUGAGGGCACAAGGCUCUCUUAUUUACUCUCAUGUACCCUCGGAAGCCUAAAAUCAAUUUUUGGUGAAUAAGUUAUUGAAUGUCUUUUCCACUUCACUUCUGGGUGGAUUAAUCUUGGAGACAUUAAAUUCUUUCUUUCGGAUACUGAA